GCUGGUUUGAGCUUGCUUAGAUGAACAAGCGGUAGAAGAAGGAGCAGGGGAAGGUGAAGCAGCGGUGGAGGUGAAGGGUGGCAGUGCUGAGGUGCACCGAGCGCGUCGAGUAGACCAUGAGCGACAAGAUUCAGAGCUUGAGGUGAUUUUGAGUGUCUAUGGCAAUGUGCGAUAGUUUUGGCAGACCCAGGCAGCAGGUGGAUCAGAUGGCUCCACAUAGAUCCUACUGGGGAGAUUUUUGGGUCUAUAGUCAUGCCAGCGCAUCCUAUUUUGGUCUCAUUGAUGUAUUGCUUUUGUUAGACAUCGAUGUUGU